rnacentral:rRNA from 1 species
GAUGAACGCUGGCGGUAUGCUUAACACAUGCAAGUCGAACGGUCACUUCGGUGAUAGUGGCGGACGGGUGAGUAACGCGUGAGAAUCUGUCUUCAGGUCGGGGACAACAGUUAGAAAUGACUGCUAAUACCGGAUGUGCCGAAAGGUGAAAGAUUUAUUGCCUGAAAGAGAGCUCGCGUCAGAUUAGCUAGUAGGUGGUGUAAGAGACUACCUAGGCGACGAUCUGUAGCUGGUCUGAGAGGACGAUCAGCCACACUGGAACUGAGACACGGUCCAGACUCCUACGGGAGGCAGCAGUGGGGAAUUUUCCGCAAUGGGCGAAAGCCUGACGGAGCAAUCUCGCGUGAGGGAUGACGGCCUAUGGGUUGUAAACCCUCUUUUUUUCAGGGAGGAAUAAAUGACGUGUACCUGAAGAGUAAGCAUCGGCUAACUCCGUGCCAGCAGCCGCGGUAAU